GAAAGGCCCUUCGGGGUACUCGAGUGGCGAACGGGUGAGUAACACGUGGGUGAUCUGCCCUGCACUUUGGGAUAAGCCUGGGAAACUGGGUCUAAUACCGAAUAGGACCGCAUGCUUCAUGGUGUGUGGUGGAAAGCUUUUGCGGUGUGGGAUGGGCCCGCGGCCUAUCAGCUUGUUGGUGAGGUAAUGGCUUACCAAGGCGACGACGGGUAGCCGGCCUGAGAGGGUGACCGGCCACACUGGGACUGAGAUACGGCCCAGACUCCUACGGGAGGCAGCAGUGGGGAAUAUUGCACAAUGGGCGCAAGCCUGAUGCAGCGACGCCGCGUGAGGGAUGACGGCCUUCGGGUUGUAAACCUCUUUCGCCAGGGACGAAGCGCAAGUGACGGUACCUGGAGAAGAAGGACCGGCCAACUACGUGCCAGCAGCCGCGGUAAUACGUAGGGUCCGAGCGUUGUCCGGAAUUACUGGGCGUAAAGAGCUCGUAGGUGGUUUGUCGCGUUGUUCGUGAAAACUCACAGCUUAACUGUGGGCGUGCGGGCGAUACGGGCAGACUUGAGUACUGCAGGGGAGACUGGAAUUCCUGGUGUAGCGGUGGAAUGCGCAGAUAUCAGGAGGAACACCGGUGGCGAAGGCGGGUCUCUGGGCAGUAACUGACGCUGAGGAGCGAAAGCGUGGGGAGCGAACAGGAUUAGAUACCCUGGUAGUCCACGCCGUAAACGGUGGGUACUAGGUGUGGGUUUCCUUCCUUGGGAUCCGUGCCGUAGCUAACGCAUUAAGUACCCCGCCUGGGGAGUACGGCCGCAAGGCUAAAACUCAAAGAAAUUGACGGGGGCCCGCACAAGCGGCGGAGCAUGUGGAUUAAUUCGAUGCAACGCGAAGAACCUUACCUGGGUUUGACAUGCACAGGACGCCGGCAGAGAUGUCGGUUCCCUUGUGGCCUGUGUGCAGGUGGUGCAUGGCUGUCGUCAGCUCGUGUCGUGAGAUGUUGGGUUAAGUCCCGCAACGAGCGCAACCCUUGUCUCAUGUUGCCAGCACGUUAUGGUGGGGACUCGUGAGAGACUGCCGGGGUCAACUCGGAGGAAGGUGGGGAUGACGUCAAGUCAUCAUGCCCCUUAUGUCCAGGGCUUCACACAUGCUACAAUGGCCGGUACAAAGGGCUGCGAUGCCGUGAGGUGGAGCGAAUCCUUUCAAAGCCGGUCUCAGUUCGGAUCGGGGUCUGCAACUCGACCCCGUGAAGUCGGAGUCGCUAGUAAUCGCAGAUCAGCAACGCUGCGGUGAAUACGUUCCCGGGCCUUGUACACACCGCCCGUCACGUCAUGAAAGUCGGUAACACCCGAAGCCGGUG
rnacentral:rRNA from 1 species